rnacentral:rRNA from 1 species
GAUGAACGCUGGCGGCGUGCCUAAUACAUGCAAGUCGAGCGAACAGACGAGGAGCUUGCUCCUCUGACGUUAGCGGCGGACGGGUGAGUAACACGUGGAUAACCUACCUAUAAGACUGGGAUAACUUCGGGAAACCGGAGCUAAUACCGGAUAAUAUAUUGAACCGCGUGGUUCAAUAGUGAAAGACGGUUUUGCUGUCACUUAUAGAUGGAUCCGCGCCGCAUUAGCUAGUUGGUAAGGUAACGGCUUACCAAGGCAACGAUGCGUAGCCGACCUGAGAGGGUGAUCGGCCACACUGGAACUGAGACACGGUCCAGACUCCUACGGGAGGCAGCAGUAGGGAAUCUUCCGCAAUGGGCGAAAGCCUGACGGAGCAACGCCGCGUUAGUGAUGAAGGUCUUCGGAUCGUAAAACUCUGUUAUUAGGGAAGAACAAAUGUGUAAGUAACUAUGCACGUCUUGACGGUACCUAAUCAGAAAGCCACGGCUAACUACGUG